rnacentral:rRNA from 1 species
GUGUCAGCCGCCGCGGUAAUACGUAGGGGGCAAGCGUUGUCCGGAUUUAUUGGGCGUAAAGAGCGUGUAGGCGGUUAUACAGGUCCGCUGUGAAAACUGGAGGCUUAACCUCCAGACGUCGGUGGAAACCGUAUGACUAGAGUCCGGAAGAGGAGAGUGGAAUUCCUGGUGUAGCGGUGAAAUGCGCAGAUAUCAGGAAGAACACCCGUGGCGAAGGCGGCUCUCUGGGACGGUACUGACGCUGAGACGCGAAAGCGUGGGGAGCGAACAGGAUUAGAUACCCUCGUAGUCC